rnacentral:lncRNA from 1 species
AUGGCAGGGCAGUACCAGCCUCGUCCUUCCCCCACACCCACACUUCACCAUUCUCCCUCCUCUUCUCUCUUCCAUCGGCACUGUCUCCCCUGUCUCUUCUCCCGCCCCCCUCCUUCCAGCCUCGUCCUCCCGGGCUCCGCGAGGAAGCGUUCCUGGAGGAGCUGCGGGACGCCCAGGCCAGCCAAUAGAAAGCGGGGGAAUGCUGAGAUUGGCACGGAGGAUGGGAAGAAUGAGCUGAAGAAGGAAAUGGCAAGCCACUCCAGUAUCUUUGCCAAGAAAAUCCCAAAUGGGGUCAUGAAGGGUCAGGUCAAGACUUUAAAGUUUGCAAAGCAUGUUACAGAGAUCCUCGACAGCAAAGGCUCAGGGAUGGUGUUAAGACACAACAGAAACACAACCACCUUCGGGGCUUUGCUACUCAGCAUAACAGGACCAUAUUUUGUCCCAUCCAAAUCCACAAAAGAAGAUGAUUUCAAUCAAUGAAAAAAUGUGAAAUUCAAUCAAGAAACUUUUAUUAAGUACUUCUUUGAAAGAUAGUAUGCUGGGCUCUGAGGGUUCAAACCCCUUUCUCCCCACCUACCCCCCCUCAAAAAAAAGAAACAACAGCAACAAUCUUUAUUCUCAAGGCCUUUACAGUUAACUGAGGGGAAACUGCAUAGAAUCAGGAAAGGCUUUACAUAACAGGUGGCAAAUGAGCAGAUCUCUGAAGGGAUCUAGAUAUUCCAAAAGGUAAAGGUGAGAAGGGAAAGCAUUUUAAGAAAAAGGGAUAGCCCAUUGCAAAGGCUCAGAGGUAGGAGAUAUGGCCUUUCAUAGGCCAGUUUGGCUGGAUUGUAGAGUAUAGGUGGGCCAGACUUAGAUUAUAAAUAAAAGGAAUUGAAGUAGAGAGG